rnacentral:rRNA from 1 species
UAGUCCACGCUGUAAACGAUGAUCACUAGCCGUUGGGAGAUUUAAUCUUCAAGUGGCGCAGCUAACGCGAUAAGUGAUCCGCCUGGGGAGUACGGCCGCAAGGUUAAAACUCAAAUGAAUUGACGGGGGCCCGCACAAGCGGUGGAGCAUGUGGUUUAAUUCGAAGCAACGCGAAGAACCUUACCUGGCCUUGACAUCCAGAGAACUUUCCAGAGAUGGAUUGGUGCCUUCGGGAACUCUGAGACAGGUGCUGCAUGGCUGUCGUCAGCUCGUGUUGUGAAAUGUUGGGUUAAGUCCCGCAACGAGCGCAACCCUUGUCUUUAGUUGCCAUCAUUUAGUUGGGCACUCUAGAGAAACUGCCGGUGACAAACCGGAGGAAGGUAAGGAUGACGUCAAGUCAGCAUGCCCCUUACGCUCUGGGCUACACACGUGCUACAAUGGUCGUGACAAAGAGUUGCUAGUCUGCGAAGGCAAGCCAAAUCUCAUAAACGCGG